UUGAACCAUAAAAAAUUAAAAGUGUUUAUAGAUAAUCUUACAAUAUGAAUAAAUGUCUUUGAAAUGUCUCUGAUGCGUUUCAAGGGCAUCGCAGUCUAUAUGCCCUUCGUUGCAGUAAAUACAAAACACGGAUUUGUUUGUCAGCAACUGUGAUGGAAAAUGUAUUCAAAAAAAUUAAAUAAAGUUUUGAUUUGUGUGGUAGCAAUUAUAUGUUAUUUUGAAUUGUUUUCGAUAAAAUUGAGGUUACUAUGAGUGCUACUGAAGUGUUAUUUGAGUUUAAAUUAUUAAUUUUACACAAAAUUAUUGACCACGAGUUUGAUUUGAGUAAAUACGUAUGUUGAUUGUGAAUUAACGGUUCAAGAAAAUAACAUGGAGCAAUUCCAGACCCUGCGCUAUAAGCCGAAGUGUUGUAUGGUAUGCUACAACGGGAUCCGACAGAACGGUGUUGACUCUAAUGGAAUUUGAGCUAAGAUACAAAAUGUGUUAAUAAUUUAAUGAAUUGUUACCGAGUCAGGCAACCCCCGACCGAGAGCCAGCGCUAAAUUAUAAAAAAACAACCCCUCGCUGCGCCUUCGCACUUUUUUUGUGCGUGGUGUACGUGUGUGCAGUUCUUGUUAAAACAUGUUUGGGACUUGUGUAAUUUUAACAGUUUUCGUUAAUAGUAUAUUGAAAUCAUUUUGUUAGAAGUUUUGGUUAAUUCAGUGAAAAUUAAUUAGGCCAGUUCUGUGUAAUUUAUUUUCUUUUUUUAACUACCUCACUUCUGGUCGAUAAUAGAAUAUAAAAGAAUGUUCACCCGCGUUUGGAUGUCAUGGCCCACACCACACAAGUCAGUACAAAAUGAUAAAUGUAGGCAUAAAAGUAGGGAUACAUUCGGAUAUUAGUUUAGCCCCUGUAACCCUUAAGGGCUAGGCUGGUACUAGGAUUAGACACUGGUAAUCAGACUGCGUUUGUGUACACAGUGGACACUGUAGUUACUAAGUUAACUAAGGUACCCCAUGUUCGAGAAACUUAAAACAGAUUUAUGACAGCAUUUCCACUUCAAAACUUUUUAAAACAAAUGUUGCAUAAAAAAACCAUAAAUCAACAUAAUCUUACAAACCAUGAUUCAGUUUUGUAUGGACAAUCCAAACAGUCUAACGCCCAAAAAAGGAUAGCCGCCACUUUUUCUUCAAACAAGGCUUGUGGAGAGUAUUAAGUGGUAGGCAGCGGCUUGGCACUGCCCCUGGCAUUGCUGAAGUCCAUGGGCGACGGUAACCACUCACCAUCAGGUGGGCCGUAUGCUCGUCUGCCUACAAGGGCAAUAAAAAAAAAAAAAAAACUACAAAAUUUACAGGAGAGUGAUUUAAAGUUAAAAAUAAACAACAACAAAAUAUAUAAAAAGGGAAGUAUAGCUCCUGAGAGGUAAAGGUAAAUGUAUAUUUAUAGCAUUUAACGCAUUAUCUGUUGACUGAUGUUGUUAUUUUUAUGUAAUUUGGGUUACAAAUAGUAGUUAUUGUCAGUUACCCCAAAUGGUCUUCAUUGUACAAAAAGCAAAAAUAUUGUAAAGGAAAUACACAAAUUAUUAGUUGUCAGCAAAAAAUUAUGUUAAUUUACCUCAUGUUUAAUUUAAAUUGAAGAAAAAUAGCAUAAGUGUAUGCUAUUUUAGAAAAUAAAAAUUGCACAAAUAUGGUGUAGCUAGCUAUCUAAUAAAAAUUGACUGAAAAAAAUUGAUUGUAUUAAGUAAUUUUUUUAAAAGAAAUAUUUACUAUGAUUAUUAGACUCUAUUAUGUAUUUCAAUGUGCUAUUUAUUUAAAAUUAUAUUCGGAGAAGAAAACAUUUCAAGUUCACUCAAGACGUCUAAAUAAUAAACAAUAUAAUUUAAUUAAUCAGCUCAGUCUUUAAUUGACUAAAAAUGGUAUGUGCUUAGCAAAUGAAGCACAUACAUAACAAUUUGUUGAUUAAGGCUCAUAUCACAUGAUUCACUGAUCAUUUUGUUAUUUCUCAUAUUUUUGUUUAUUUUCUAGUUUUUUUAUUUUAAAAUAUUCAAUGGUACAUUUGUCUGUCUCGUUCAUGUGUUUCCGGGAUUUUGAUGGUUGAGGAGUCUGUAUUGAUCUUGAAUAAUAUGGACUGUGUACAGACAAAUUGGCUGCAGGCGUUUCAUGUCUCAGUGAAUCUUCCUCGACAGAUGUGAAAUUGGGAACAUUGUUGGAAGUUUCCUCAAUCUGGGAUACAUGUUCAGAAUUCAUUGUUCAUCUUCUUAUACAGGUCCUCUUGCGGUCGAGUUUUGUAAAAGGGUUUAAGAAUUUCAAUUAUGGCACUAAAUAGUACUCCUUCAUUGACCCAGCAGCGGACCCACUUUUAGAUUUUGUAUUUAGAGUUCGUAUGUAGGCUGAACGUAUGGAUUUCCAUUUGGACUUACAAUCAUCACUUGUAAAAAUCAAAAUUAUCAUUAAAAUUACAUAAAUUGUUUCAGGUACUUGGCAACUGGGUCCUCAUUUCCAGCAAUGUGUUACGUGUUUAAAAGAGAUGAAAAAACUAUUGGAAAAAGUUAUCAAUGAAACUUGUGAUGUUGUAUGAACAGUUUUACAAUCAAUGUACAUGAAAAUACCCACAACAAAUGAUUGGCCAGACAUUUGAAAAGAAUUUCUGGAAUGAUGAUUGGCGGUAGGACCUCUUGUGAGUCCGCGCGGGUAAGUACCACCACCCUGCCUAUUUCUGCCGUGAAGCAGUAAUGCGUUUCGGUUUGAAGGGUGGGGCAGCCGUUGUAACUAUACUUCUUGAGACCUUAGAACUUAUAUCUCAAGGUGGGUAGCGCAUUACGUCGUAGAUGUCUAUGGGCUCCAGUAACCACAUAACACCAGGUGGGCUGUGAGCUCGUCCACACAUCUAGCAAUAAAAAAAAUAAAAAAAAUGUUCACUGUCGUCACUGCUAUCAUCACCUACAUUAAUUAUAAGUUCGUUUUCUAAAAAAAAACUCAGCGGCACGGAAUGUGGCCCAAGUGCGUUAUGUGGUUUAUUAUGAAAAUGAAACGCGACAAAAGGUUCUUUUUUGUGGUUAAAAUUUAAUCUUUAUAAAUGCAAAUGUUUAAUAAAAAAAAGCGAGUGAAAUUUGUUAAAACUUGUGAAAAUUACAAAAAGGUCAUUAUAAAUUGAUUCGUAUCGAUUUUAUUAUUUAAUUUUCCCGUACGAUACCGGUCUGGAAAGCUUGGUCGUUUAAAUUAAGGUCAUUCAUACCAAAGCCUUUUUCUACGUUAUUCGAGUUGAAACAGUGUACGGGUUGUUUUGGACGUUGGAAACAAUUCCAAGGUUGUCGAUUAGUAUUUUGCUGGUUUCGGGCCAAAUUAGACCUUUUUUUAUUAUUGUAAGCUCGUUUUCUGCAGUUUUCUAUUGUGUGACCUAUGUUUUUGCAAUAUCAGCAAAUAGGAGCAUUUGAAUUCGGACCACCUUGUAUAUUUAAUACGUUUCUUGGUUGAAACUGACGAGGUUGAUUUUGAAAAUUAGAACUUUGAGGAAGUGACACGUGAGAAUAAUAUACGAAUAUAAUUACUGUUGAUAACCUAAUAAUUUAUUUUUCUACAUAGUCUCUGAGUCUCACUACACACUGAGUCCAGAGCUUUUCCAAGGCUUCAAUCUCUUUCAAAAAAAAAGUUUUGUCUUGAUCCUGCAAAAAGCUCUCCACGGCAUCCAUCACCUCGUUAUCGUCUUCGUUCCUGUUUCCCCUUAAGAGCGGGCCUCGGGGAAACCCCUCUGCCCGGACAUGUGGCUCCCUUUUGGCGGCUGCCUCUCCAAAUUUUUUUUUUUUUUUUUUUUCCCUUUGUACUAUUUACAAUUUAAUCUUAACCUAUCUUAACCUAAAAUAAACCUAACUUAGUCUAACUUACAUCUAAGUGACAGCAGCGCGCCGUUCCUGCACUCCGUGGAGUGCCGGGACAGCGCGCGCCGUCACACCUAAACUAAUCCUAACCUUUUUUUUUUUUUUUCGGGGGGAAAUCCUCAUGGACUACCUCCGCCUGGGGAAAAGCGGAGGGGCGUGCCGGACUCCUACCGGCUAAAACCACCCCGGUGUCCACCCACACGUGCGCGCAGGGCCGCGGGAAUCCAAAUUCUUCCGCAGCCUCACACCAGUGAUGGCCCGGUCUGUCCAGGCCUCGUCUCCUGCACGGGGUAGUGAGGCGUUCAGCUACUCCGUGCAUCGCCUCAGAGGCACGCGCCGACACCCGCACGCGCCUCCGUCUCAGGUCCAUCGAAUAGGGGGCGAGGGCUUUCCCAAGUCCCUCGCCCCUGGACCCAUUCAUGGGGGGCGGAAAAGGGCGUUGUCCGCCCUUGUCCUACGCCCGGUGCGCCUUCUGCGGCCGGGGAAGGGAGUCGAGAUCUCCCUCUCCCGUUCUGCAGUUUCCUUCUGCGACAUCACGUCCUCGCAGAAGGACACUACCGCGUCCCACGACUCUGCGCUGCCGACCAUCCUCCGCACUACGGCCGGCAGCGACAGAUCGCUUCCUACUUUUGUUUGUUGGUGGUGCAUGGUCGCCAGAUCAUGCAAUUAGGCUCAGGCCACUUUUGAUAUUUUAAUUUAACGUCUAUUAUUACCGGACGGGUCGUCGUAGAAAUUACAAGGCAUACAUCACUUGACAGACUGAUUUAAAGUCAGCCUUCAUCACAUAGGCGUGACCAACGCCAUCUCUUAAAGUAUAAAUGGGGCGCAUGAGGUUAUGCAAUGUUGGUUGCUCUCCUAAAAGUGUAAUUUGUCCUUCAAUGCGCUCAGCUGCAGUUAAUUUAGAAUCACUUGUAUAACUAGUUAUAUUGCCUUGUAGUAUGCACCUUUCAUAAUAGUCGUCGAGGGGUUCUCCCGCGUUACGAUCAGGGCAUCUUAAUGUUUCCAUUUCAUUGGAUAGGAGCAUAGAAGCUUUGCCAAUAGGUUUGGUAUCUAGUGCGCCUCCCACCAUCUUGGGAGCGUGCUUCUGCAAUCUAUUUAAAUAGGGGAGGAUAACCAUUAUAUCUGUUCUCAACCCAUCUUCAAACGUGUAGUCAGGCGGCAUUAUUUCAUCAGGAUUUAACAAUAAAUAAUUGUUCCAAAUAGCUCCUGGUAUGGCAUUGUUCUCAUAAUAUCUUCUUCGAACGUUGAUGGCAGUAUUUGGAUCAGCUAAAGCUACAACUGUUUCACGUAAAUUUGAAAAGCAUGUAGAUUCAGGUCUUGGCUUAGGUGCGCCAGCGGACGAUCUGGGCAUGUCAGCCAUAACUGGCAAGUAAAUUUUGUCUUCAUGUUUUAAUACACCAACUGUGUCAACAAUCUUCUUUAUGGGUGUUGGUACAAAAGAAAAAGUUUUUUAUUAUUCGGAUAAAAUCUGCGUUAAGACCAGUAUGCUUAUUAAUGUAUUCUGAAUAUCUUGGAAUUAUAGGAAAAUGUUGAAUUAUAUCCAUUAACUUUGCUUCAAGCAGGGCGAGAUAGGCACGGUACUGUGAAUAAAUGCUAGGGAUUCGAGCUCUCUCGUCGUACUGCUUUGCGACGUAGGUAAGAUGGACUGUUCCCAUUCCUACACCACGGCUGGUUACUGACAGCAUCUUCGAUUGUAAGACUUGCUGUUCGGCGAGUCGAUUAUACUCUUCCAUGUCAACUCCAGCGAACAUGGACUCCUUUAUACGCUCGCGGUUUGCUUCGACCACUUCUGCUCCUUUCUUCACUCUAUAGUCUUCAAACCUUUUCUGGUUUCUGUUUGAGAUACACUACCACGACCACGGUUAAAAUUUUGCUGCUGUUGCCGAGGGGGUCUAUCUUCGUAUUCGUAAUCAUAAUGCCUGCCGUUGUUGUUAUUAUUAUUGCCAUUAUUAAUGUUUUCAAGCCGUACGCCCGGGUUUGGGACAAAAUUGCGCAUCCACUUAUAAGUGAUGGGGUCAGCAGGGGCGCCCUCUACACCCGUCGCCAACAACAUGUAGCAUCUCACUAAAGGUGCGACCUCCCUGUACGACCCGUUCCCCUUCUGCAUAUGCUUGACAAGCGUUAUCACACUUGCUGAAUCUUUCAUUGUUGAGCCCUUGACUAAGGCCCCCAGCGCUCCUGUGGCGUUUGGGUCAGUUAUUCUCUCGGCCACAUGAUUGUACAGUGAACUGUACGGCACCACCUCGUCUUCGUUGGCCCAUGUGUUAACCCCGAUACUAUAUACAGGACAUGUGUCACUGUAGGUGUUCCGAGGACGCGUGUAAUAACAAAGCCGGUUGAUUACGCACUACUCUAUUAUAUUGACGGCGGACGCAGCCGCCGAUGCUUACAUACCUAACAAGAACUGAAGUCCCUCCGCAGACCCACGAGUUUCCAAACGAUCCGUGAGAAUGGGAUUAUUGACAAUCCGAACGGCCCUUUUCUGUAUGGAGUCAAAUGGAAGAAGCUGGUAUAUGGGAGCCCCAGCCCAGAGAUGGGAGCAGUAUUCUAAGCGAGACCGGACUUGUGCUUUAUAAAGCAAAAAUCUUUGUCCAGUCGUGAAGUACCGCUUCGCUUUGUGGAGGACUCCCAGCAUUUUGGACGCCAACUUGGCUUUGCCUUCCUGACUCCGAAAUUGGACAUCGCUUGAAAUGUCGACCCCAAGUGUCACGACACUCGGAAGGUCGCUGCAAGAGGACACCAUGAACAGAAAUUCAGAUGGGAGCAACACCUCUUCUUUCAACCAAUUUGCGUUCUCUGCCAAGAAUCUUGUUUUGUUUCACUUACAUUUCUUCCAUUUAGAUUGUAUUCUUGCUGUGAGACUACUUAUUAAGAUUUGAAGUGAUCGUGGAGGGUUUCUACAGUCUUCUCUGUCAUAAUAUUGUAGGUUUUUUUCAAUUAAAAAGUUAUUUCGACCUUUUUUUCUUACUUGGAACCAUAUACUAAAAAUAUCUCUUCUUUUCAUUGUGCUGAAAACAAAAAAAAAGUAUGAGCGGGGCAAAUAAGAGCAAGGGAUUAGAUAUCAAAGAACAUUAACCGUUGAAGGCUAUGCCAGUGAUUUCCCGGUGUAUACACUUGCAUACUUUUUUAAAAGUCAACACUAAUACAAAAAAUAAUCCAGGUCUACAGUAAAAAGGUAACUAACUAAGAACAUUUCAAUAUUAUAAGGUUCGAACUUACCUUAAUGUAUCCUCGAUGAUAUAACAAUCAAUAAAAAUGACCAAUUAUAGCACUUUAAACGACAAGAACAGACCUGUUCGCAUUCAGCAAUAAAUCAAAACUAAACAAAACGCUCGUGCUAGUAUGCAUAAGUUAUUUUUCCGGACUUUCCCUACGUUAUAUGGUGUUGCCCAUUUAUAAAUUUUAUUUAAUAUCGGUUAUUUAGUUAUACACCUGUGUUUCAAAGGGAGUUUUAGGAAUAUUAAAAAAGUAUUAUUUUUUAAUUAAGAUCUCGAUAAUAAUACAGUGUGCGACGCUGUGACUAAACAAUAGUAUUAAUCCUAAUAUCUUCAACUGUUUUGAGAUUCAAAAUUUAAAGAAAUUCGAACAUAGAACAGUUCCAAAUUCAAAA